rnacentral:tRNA from 1 species
CAAAGUAUAGUUAAAUUAGUCUAACGUUUCAUUUACAUUGAAAAAAAUUAUCGUGCAAAUCGAUUUACUUUGA